rnacentral:rRNA from 1 species
UAGCAGGCUUGCGKCGAUUAGKAGACGGUGGGGUAACGGCCCACCGUGCCCAUAAUCGGUACGGGUUGUGAGAGCAAGAGCCCGGAGACGGAAUCUGAGACAAGAUUCCGGGCCCUACGGGGCGCAGCAGGCGCGAAACCCUUACACUGUACGAAAGUGCGAUAAGGGGACUCCGAGUGUGAAGGCAUAGAGCCUUCACUUUUGUACACCGUAAGGUGGUGCACGAAUAAGGACUGGGCAAGACCGGUGCCAGCCGCCGCGGUAAUACCGGCAGUCCGAGUGAUGGCCGAUCUUAUUGGGCCUAAAGCGUCCGUAGCUGGCUGAACAAGUCCGUUGGGAAAUCUGUCCGCUUAACGGGCAGGCGUCCAGCGGAAACUGUUCAGCUUGGGACCGGAAGACCUGAGGGGUACGUCUGGGGUAGGAGUGAAAUCCUGUAAUCCUGGACGGACCGCCGGUGGCGAAAGCGCCUCAGGAGAACGGAUCCGACAGUGAGGGACGAAAGCUAGGGUCUCGAACCGGAUUAGAUACCCGGGUAGUCCUAGCUGUAAACGAUGUCCGCUAGGUGUGGCGCAGGCUACGAGCCUGCGCUGUGCCGUAGGGAAGCCGAGAAGCGGACCGCCUGGGAAGUACGUCUGCAAGGAUGAAACUUAAAGGAAUUGGCGGGGGAGCACUACAACCGGAGGAGCCUGCGGUUUAAUUGGACUCAACGCCGGACAUCUCACCAGCCCCGACAGUAGUAAUGACGGUCAGGUUGAUGACCUUACCCGAGGCUACUGAGAGGAGGUGCAUGGCCGCCGUCAGCUCGUACCGUGAGGCGUCCUGUUAAGUCAGGCAACGAGCGGGACCCGCACUCCUAAUUGCCAGCAGUACCCUUUGGGUAGCUGGGUACAUUAGGUGGACUGCCGCUGCCAAAGCGGAGGAAGGAACGGGCAACGGUAGGUCAGUAUGCCCCGAAUGGGCUGGGCAACACGCGGGCUACAAUGGUCGAGACAAUGGGAAGCCACUCCGAGAGGAGGCGCAUAAUCGUCACUU